rnacentral:lncRNA from 1 species
UUUCGGGCAUCUUAUGACAAUGCAUCGCCCACACCGUGCGUUGACAACCUAUUAGCACGCUCUUGCAUGGGUUUGGGGCCCCAACAGCUUUGGUUGGAUCUUCCAUCCAUGUCUCGGCCUCGCCCUCUACGGCCAUCACAGCCGCAUAAAAUUCCGUCAAUUCAUAUUCGGGCCCGCGUCAGUUCCGACUGGGGCUAUUAUAGGCUACACAACACCUCGAUGCCUCACCUACAAUAAGAAAAUAAAGCCCCAUGUAUGCCUAAAGCAAGGGCGAUGCCCAUGCUCCAUUUUUGAAUUUUUCCGAAAAUGGGCCCCGGUGGGCCCA